GUGUCAGCAGCCGCGGUAAGACGGAGGAUGCAAGUGUUAUCCGGAAUCACUGGGCGUAAAGCGUCUGUAGGUGGUUUAAUAAGUCAACUGUUAAAUCUUGAGGCUCAACCUCAAAAUCGCAGUCGAAACUGUUAGACUAGAGUAUAGUAGGGGUAAAGGGAAUUUCCAGUGGAGCGGUGAAAUGCGUAGAGAUUGGAAGGAACACCGAUGGCGAAGGCACUUUACUGGGCUAUUACUAACACUCAGAGACGAAAGCUAGGGUAGCAAAUGGGAUUAGAUACCCCAGUAGUCCUAGCUGUAAACAAUGGAUACUAGAUGUUGAACAGAUCGACCUGUGCAGUAUCAAAGCUAACGCGUUAAGUAUCCCGCCUGGGAAGUAUGCUCGCAAGAGUGAAACUUAAAUGAAUUGACGGGG
rnacentral:rRNA from 1 species